AUGAGACCUGCGGUGAACUGUUCUCGUGCCAAGAAGCCCUGGGCCAGGGCCAAGUGUUUCCAGAGCCAAGCACCCAUGUGUGUGUCUGGGAAGAGGUGGCUAAGGCCACUAGGGUGCUCACCCUGCAAGAUUGCUCCCCAGUCCUUUCCUCAGGGGACACCGCUCUUUCUGAAGGGUGAUGGUGGACCUCCUCUUCCCUCACUUUCAGUUCUUUUAGCCAGACCUAUCCCCUCUUUCUCCCAUGCAAGUUCUUUUGGGGACACCCAGAAAACUUCUCUGAGAAGGAAGAUGGAAGUGACUCCGCAGCACCAAGCGGCAUCCACCAAGAAUCAGGCUGGAGAAAAGGGAGCCCAAAGAAUAGAAAGUGUUUGGGAGUUACUUGUUCAUUCAAAUCUUGCAUUUUACCCCCUAAGGUUCUCAUUUGGGGUGGGGGGUAGGGUUCAAACAUUGUCAAUUUUUCUGACUUUUUAAAUCAUCGUCAUUAUUUUUAAUUAAAAAAUGCCUGUAUGCCUUUUUCUGGUCCAGUUGUAAAUAAAAAUGCCAUUGUCCUGUUACA
rnacentral:lncRNA from 1 species